AAGUAUGAUGUGGGCAUUUUUUUAUCAUCUCCUUGUAUCUUUCUCAUGCUUCAUAGAGUGAUUCACCAUUCUUUUGGGAGAAGGAAUUUAUGUUAUUCCUCAACCG